GGGGGCGACUUGGUUUCGACGGGGUACGUGGAGGCCGGGUUGCGCGCCGAGGAUGCUCGUUGGCCUCGUUAAAAAACGGGCGAAACCACUAAACGCGAACGAUAACUUCGCCAUGGCUGCCUAAGCGCCCAACGCGCAUGGCACCCACGCUUAAGCCCUGACUUCCGCUAGGGGUGUACGCGAACUCAGCGGGACUUUGCCGGAAGCCCGACGGCUGGGCGUCCGAGCACCGUACAAACCGGCCGCAUGCCUCCGGACGGGUCUGCCCGCGGACAUGCCCGAAGGCGAGAUCCAGACACGGGACACGCGCGUAGAAGCCUUGCCAAAUCUGCUUCGGACGGGGGUUCGACUCCCCCCGCCUCCACCA
rnacentral:tmRNA from 1 species